UGCAGGUGGAACUGACUACUACAACUCCACUGUAUAUUGCUAUCAUUUAUUGUAUACCUAAUCAAAAACCACUUUACGUGUGGAUAAACCCUAUCAAUACGGUAAUGGGUUUACCAGCUAUUAUAUGCAUACAUAAAGUUACAGUCCAGAAUUUCUCGGUUCCAUGCAUUUGAUAAAUCCACAAAUCCACCACUAUAUUCAUACGUGAACAAUAAAUAUUAAGUAAAUAAAAGGUGUAAUAUUGGUAGUUUCUAGAAGUAUUAAAAGCAUUCACAAAAUGUCAAUACUUUAGUUAGUUUGCUUUAAAUAUCUAUAAUAGUACGUUCGUUGCCAAUUGUUACCGAAUUUCAUGGUUAUUAUAUUUAUCUGCCAUUAGGAUAGCAUAUACAAAUAAUACGAAUUUGUAAACAUUGUCCAAAUAACAAAUGGCAUUGGACAUCAUAAUUGUACACGUCGUUACAUACGGAGUCAGCUAUCUAGUUAUUAUAUAUUAUAUAUCUGUGGUAUAAACAAUGUCUUUUUUUUUUUUUUUUUUUGAAGGUAG